GUCAACAGAAAGCAUAGACGUGUUUUGGCACGAGGGCAUGCUGAAACACGAUACUGGGAAGGGCGUGUUCGAUACGGGAUUGAACCCGGGGUUCUUAGAUGUGUUAGAAUUGCACCCAGAGAACGCAGACAGAAUCAAGAACAUGGUUUCCAUCCUUAAAAGAGGACCCAUUUCUCCCUAUAUUUCUUGGCAUCUUGGCAGACCAGCUCAACACCCCGAAUUGCUCUCUUUCCACACCCCAGAGUACAUAAAUGAACUAGUCAAAGCAGACGAAGAAGGGGGGAGGAUGAUUUGUUGUGGAACUUUCUUAAAUCCUGGUUCAUGGAAUGCUUCUCU
rnacentral:misc_RNA from 1 species